CAUGAAUUGGAGUAAGCAUUGCAGAGGAGAAUCAACCCCUUUAUCGUCUGGACCAACUCCAUUGUCGUGAAAAUGAUUAAAAUGUAGUCAUUUAAACCACCCAGUCAUAGCUCAGCGUUCAUGGCCUCUAAAGAAUAUAAUUAUAUACCGGAAUCCGCCCACGGAACGUCAAUCAAUUGUCGUCGGCGUGCUCGUCGCAUGUGCAAAAUUUGUCUUCUGAGUGGCUGCUGAGGCCGAUCAUUUCUUAGCAGUUCUGCAGCAAGGGACAAACUACUAUAUGCCUUUCUCGCCAGAGCAACUGAAAUACCCAAGAGCAGAAAUGCACGCUGUGCACCGCAACAUGGAUAAGAAUUCAAGCAAUAUUUGGUAAUGGAGAAGAGAGAAAAGAAGUAAACGAUUAGCCCAAAAGUAGUCAGAGGAACUGAAUGCAAUGAUAAAAGAAGUGGAUCAGGAGAGACAGGCGUAAGCUAAACCAGUGACCACAGCAAAAAAUAGUAAUUUUUUUUGAGGUGUGGAUCUGGAGCCAGGCGUCCCCGCUUUUGACACUGACGUAUCAUUAAGGCACAGCUGCUGCUGCUGAACUGGAGCAUGGAGGUCUACCACAUGUAACAACACCUGAUAUAAUAGUUGAAUUAUUCACAGGUCAAUCUGAGAGAGAUUCAUACAUAUGAGAUUUUAAAUGCUUGAGGCUAAAAUCUGUGGCACCUGAUUUCCAGGAAAUCAUAGAUAUAAAGAGUAGUCACGUCACAGACGAAACGAGUCUCCGAGGUGCCAGUUUCAAGGAAUGUGAUCCUCAACCGUGACUGUAUCUUCGUGUCUAUUGGCAACGUGGUUUUGAUUCGCUAGCGGGACUUAAGAGCAGUCUAGGCUACUACUGUCGGUUAUAGAAAUAUGGCAACAUGCCUUACGGCAAACGAAACAGAAAAAAUGACUGCAACAUGUUUUGAUGUGCCUCUGGUAUACA